GAUGAACGCUGGCGGCGUGCCUAAUACAUGCAAGUCGAGCGAACAGACGAGGAGCUUGCUCCUCUGACGUUAGCGGCGGACGGGUGAGUAACACGUGGAUAACCUACCUAUAAGACUGGGAUAACUUCGGGAAACCGGAGCUAAUACCGGAUAAUAUAUUGAACCGCAUGGUUCAAUAGUGAAAGACGGUUUUGCUGUCACUUAUAGAUGGAUCCGCGCCGCAUUAGCUAGUUGGUAAGGUAACGGCUUACCAAGGCAACGAUGCGUAGCCGACCUGAGAGGGUGAUCGACCACACUGGAACUGAGACACGGUCCAGACUCCUACGGGAGGCAGCAGUAGGGAAUCUUCCGCAAUGGGCGAAAGCCUGACGGAGCUACGCCGCGUGAGUGAUGAAGGUCUUCGGAUCGUAAAACUCUGUUAUUAGGGAAGAACAAAUGUGUAAGUAACUAUGCACGUCUUGACGGUACCUAAUCAGAAAGCCACGGCUAACUACGUG
rnacentral:rRNA from 1 species